CAUGGCUCUCAGGCUGGCGUGUUGGCUCCUUAGACCCCCCAUGGCACGGGCCAUGUAAUCAUCCUGAAAGUCUCUCUGGGUGUCUGCACUCUCAUAAAGCAGGAAAAUGGAUCGUGUGGCCCAGGAAGGGAAAAUGAAAGAAAAGGAGAAUGAAAUUACAGACCUGGCUGACUGCACAAAUCAUGCAUAUCAUGUUUUAUGGCUUGCCAGAAGAAUUCAACACCUGUGGAUCACCGUAGCUGUAAUUGUACAUGAACGCACAGAGAUGAAGGACGGCAUCCUCGAUGGUUCCAAUUUCCAGCCCAUUCCCCAAUUUUCAACCCCAAUGACAGACAACACACACAGGGAUGGCUGUUUAGCUAAAGAAGGGAAUUGGGUGGUCGGGUUCUCCCUUGAAGGUAAGGUGAGAAGCUUGAUGAUCCGGCAGGGGCUCAGAGUAGAGUCGCUGCUCCUCCGCAUCGAGAGGAGCCAGAUGAGGUGGUUGGACAUCUGGUCAGGAUGCCUCAUGGAUGCUUCCCUGUUGAAGUGUUCCGGGCACGUCCCACUGGGAAGAGGCCCCAGGAAAGACCCAGGACACGCUGGACGGACUACAUCUCUUGGCUGGCCUAGGAAUGCCUUGGGAUCCCCUCAGAUGAGAAAUGGAUGGAUGGAUGGAUAUUUUUGCCAAAAAUUCAACAUGUAUGUCUGUGUAUUUUUUCCCCUUUAAUACACUUACAUUGUUGGGGAGCAACUUAACAAGAUCCUGGUGUCCCUGCUCACGCUGUGCUCUUCAGUUCACUAGCAGCCCCGCUGAGGAGCGAUGAGUCUGGGAAGUGCACAUUUUAACACUUAGUAAAAUAUGGUUUAAACUUCUUUUUAGUCAGUCUAUACCUCCAUUUAUGUCGUUAUGUUGGAAGUUUUUUUUUUUUUGUUCUUUUUUUUGUGUGUAUGUGUGUGUGUCAUGUUUGUGUGUUUGGAUGCCGUACAGAACUUUUAUUGAAACAUCGCUGGAACAUGUGUUUGGUUUCACCUGUGGUCUGCUGGUUUUUCUGUUUCUUUUCCUAAUAAAGGUGUGCAUGGUGAAACUGGAUCAAAUGACGUUUAUUUAAAAGGAUCCCCAUUAGCUGA